UGGGGAAUCUUGGACAAUGGGGGCAACCCUGAUCCAGCCAUGCCGCGUGAGUGAUGAAGGCCUUAGGGUCGUAAAGCUCUUUCGCCUGUGAAGAUAAUGACGGUAGCAGGUAAAGAAACCCCGGCUAACUCCGUGCCAGCAGCCGCGGUAAUACGGAGGGGGUUAGCGUUGUUCGGAAUUACUGGGCGUAAAGCGCACGUAGGCGGACCAGAAAGUUGGGGGUGAAAUCCCGGGGGCUCAACCCCGGAACUGCCUCCAAAACUAUUGGUCUAGAGUUCGAGAGAGGUGAGUGGAAUUCCAAGUGUAGAGGUGAAAUUCGUAGAUAUUUGGAGGAACACCAGUGGCGAAGGCGGCUCACUGGCUCGAUACUGACGCUGAGGUGCGAAAGUGUGGGGAGCAAACAGGAUUAGAUACCCUGGGUAGUCCACACCGUAAAACGAUGAAUGCCAGUCGUCGGGUAGCAUGC
rnacentral:rRNA from 1 species